rnacentral:rRNA from 1 species
GUGCAGUGCAUGCCAGCUGACAGUUGAAUAGGAGGGGGGCUAGCGUUGCGCGGAGUGCCUGUGCGUAAAGCGUACGUAGUCGGAUUGCUAAGUAAUGAGUGAAAUCCUGGAGCUCAACUCCAGAACUGCGUUUGAUACGGGCGAUCUUUAGUGCGGGAGAGGUGAGUGGAACUGCGAGUGUAGAGGGGAAAUUCGUAGAUAUGCGCAAGAACACCAGUGGCGAAGGCGGCUCACUGGCCCGGUACUGACGCUGAGGUGCGAAAGCGUGGGGAGCAAACAGGAUUAGAUACCCUUGUAGUC